rnacentral:rRNA from 1 species
AUUGAACGCUGGCGGCAUGCCUUACACAUGCAAGUCGAACGGCAGCGGGGGAGAAGCUUGCUUUUCCUGCCGGCGAGUGGCGAACGGGUGAGUAAUACAUCGGAACGUGCCCUGUAGUGGGGGAUAACUAGUCGAAAGAUUAGCUAAUACCGCAUACGACCUGAGGGUGAAAGUGGGGGACAGCAAGGCCUCAUGCUAUAGGAGCGGCCGAUGUCUGAUUAGCUAGUUGGUGGGGUAAAGGCCUACCAAGGCUACGAUCAGUAGCUGGUCUGGGGGGACGAUCAGCCACACUGGGACUGAGAAACGGCCCAGACUCCUACGGGAGGCAGCAGUGGGGAAUUUUGGACAAUGGGCGAAAGCCUGAUCCAGCAAUGCCGCGUGUGUGAAGAAGGCCUUCGGGUUGUAAAGCACUUUUGUCAGGAAAGAAAUGGCUCUGGUUAAUACCUGGGGUCGAUGACGGUACCGGAAGAAUAAGGACCGGCUAACUACGUGCCAGCCGCCGCAGUAA